GAUGUUACAAGUAGCAGUAUCAAGAUCCAUCUUACUUUUCUGGAAAACCUUAAACAUUUCCAACGCCUUUUCUAACUUCCCAUUCUCGCAGAGACCGGCCAGCAGAGUGUUACAAGUUACGAUAUCAGGGGACACACCAUUAGAAAUCAUCUCCUGGAAAAGGUCUUGAGCAACAUUAACAUUCCCCACUUGACAGAACCCGUGAAUAAGAUGCUGUAAGAAACGGUAUCAGGAACUAAUCCUCUUCUCGACAUCUCAUGGAGAAGCUUCAUUCCAUCAUCUACCCUCUUCGCCCUACAGCAUCCAUCUAUGAGAGUAUUUAAAGUAAUUAUAUCCGGAGAGCAGCCCUUGCUAACCAUCAAAUCAAACAUGUGCUUUGCGUCUUCUAGACGGCUAUGCUUGCAAAAUCCAUCGAUCAUUGAACUAUACGUGAUUGUGGUAGGAAAUAUAUUCCUUCGAAGCAUCUCACGGUAUAAUUCUUCAGCCCCAGAGACCUUUCCUUCUUUGACAAAUGCAUUGAUCAAUGCGCUGAAAGUAACAACAUCAGGGUCGAUAUUCCUUUCGAUCAUAUCACGCAGCAAUUGCUCCGCAUCACUCCAUUUACCAUAGCUACAAUAACCGUCUAUCAUACAAUUGUAAGUGAGAACAUUGGGAAAAAUACCUUUCUCAUGCAUUUCAGUGAAAAUAUUUUGAGCCUUGAUGUGGUUCCCGUCCUUGCAAAGGCGAUCAACGAUGGCAGAAUAGAUUACAACAUUGGCUUUGAUUUGGCUUUCAUCCAUCUUCCUAAGCAUAUUCAAAGCCGAGACAGUGUCACCCAACUUACACAUUCCAUUGACAAUUGUUCCGUAAGUAACCGCGUCAGGUUGAUGACCUUCUUCUACCAUCCGAUCAACAAGAGCUAGCGCUUGGAGAACUCGACCCUCGCGGCAAAGACCGUUCAUCAGUGUGGUAAACGUUACGACAUUUGCAGGACAUCCCGUU
rnacentral:sRNA from 1 species